CCUUUGUGUCAAUGUGUGUGUCUGUAACAAGGCCAAACAUUUAAGGAUCCCUGCUGAUUAUGUGAAUCUGAAGGAGCUUCUGGAAGCUAGUCAGGAGGAUUGUGAGGAACUGAAAGAAAGAUUCAUGGAAGUUCUCUCAAGCCUGGACUUAGAGAGAAGUGAAAAUGCCAAGAAGCGAUCACAGCACAAAACCAAAAUGCAGCGAGCUAAACAGAUAUUCUUUAAGGAGACAGGAUGGCGUGAUGAGAAAAUAAGAAACCUUGAAAGAGACCUAGCUCUCGCCUUAACUUCAUCCACCCGGGAAAAAGAGAUGAUCGGGAACAUGAACAAGGAAAAUGAGAAAUUGUUGGCGGAAAAGAGGGAUCUGCUUGGAAGGCUAAAUGAUUUGGAGGAUAAAACUUACAACAGCGUCAUUUCUGCUACAGCCUCACAAUUCAGUGUGGAUUUCUUGGAGAAAGAAAAUAAGCACUUACAAGAAACUAUAGUGGAGAUGUCCCGUCUGAUACCUAGCGGAAAAGCAUUGCAACACGCUCUGAAGAAUCUCAAAAUAUCACGCAGCACUGAUGUACAGAUUUCAGCCUGGCUCAUUGGAUGUGAGAGGCCUUCUAGACAUCAUUCAGAGGAGCAGGUCCAGUCACUCAGAGGAUUCCAUGUCUCCGCUCUCUACACUAACCAGGCAUCCUGUGGAGAUGGGCUAUCUGAACGUGACCCCGUCCACAGGAAUCUGCGACAAAAAUCUGAACCUGACCUCUGCUCUUACCAGGGCUGACCAUCAGAUCCUCUCAGACACCAAUUCGGACGUUGAGGAGGUUUGAGGACAUUCAGGCAGAGACAAUCAACCGAAGAACCUUCAUACAAUCUAUCGAAGUGAUUGUGUAUAUAAAAGUGACCGUAAAGUUAAACAAGGAGCACUAAAUGUAACUAAAAUGUAACUUUGCACACCAGUUCACUUUGUAAUUUGCAUUAUAGGUGAAAAUGAGGUUGUUCAUUAUGUACUGGAAUUAAAGUGCGGACUAGAUAUGUGCAUGUUGAGCGUGGAUGUAAUUGAGAGAGACUGUGUAUCCAUGGUGAGUGCGUGAGUGAGCUAGUGUAUGUUUUUCAUAGUAGAGAAUGCAAAAGGGCACCAAAGGUUGGACUAUCUGACAGGCCAGAUAGUCCAACAGUCUUAUUUAUGAUGCCAGUGUACUGUAUCUGUUGAAGUUAGUAGCAACGAGAACUGUCCAUGGCUUGGUUGGCUGAUGCCAGUGUACUGUAUCUGUUGAAGUUAGU
ensembl:lncRNA